UCGAAUUCUAGAUUUCCAAGGCCUUCUCUUACCCAAAGUGUUUCAAAGUUCCCAGGAGCCUCAAGGACUCCACACAGUGCUUACACUUUGGAUAACAAUUAUUGUAACAAAAUAGUGCAGUGUGGAAUAGCCAGCCCUCAGGCAUCCAAGUUCAGAGGGAGAUCGAGGGUCCCAAAGCAUGGCUUACCAAAGGGGGGGGCAGAACUUAGAAACUAGGAAUAGGUGCAAAGUGAGAUAGGGAUUAAGGAGCCAUAACAGAGGGUGGUCAUACCCAGCCAUGGGUACAGACUGGCACACACCUGACCCUAUGCUUGGUCCAAGCAAAUAAAAAGCAGACUUUUAGGAGUCAAACUUGGGUCUUGAUGGCAAUUAGGACACCACCAGACCCGAGUUAAGGCUCAGCACAUAAAGGGGUAAAGGGAAUGGGGAAUUGACUUGAGUAGAGGUUUAAGAGAACCUGAUUCUAAGUCAUGAGUAGCAAUAAUAGAAUACCAACACGACUCAGAAUUACUCACACAUAAGAGGGGGUCAAAGGGAAGGGGUACCACAUAAGAAAGCAUUUAAAGAAACAUGAAGAAAGCAAGAAGGCAUAACACACUUGAAUGUGCAGAACAUGAUGAAAGAGAGCCUGACAGACUAAAUGAAGAAUACAUAACAGAAGAAGGGAAAUAAACAUAUAGUGUAGGAGGGUAUUAUUUAAUUAGAAAGACAUACCAGAUGUAAUUUUCAGAACAGCAGAACAACAAUAGCAAGUAAAUAGCCAGAGAGUCAGCAGGAGCAAACUCAGAAAUUUCAGCAAGCACUUGAGAACUCAAAGGGACUCAAAGAAUGUUUUCACAGUAGAGAAAGCAGUAGUAGAUAAAGUAGUAUAUUUUUUUAAGAUAGAGGUGUCUAUGUGUCGAAUUCGAAGUGCCUCCUAAAGUGCAGAAGUGUCAUGCCCUUUAUAGUGUAGAAAGCAAGUAAAAAUUGGUAAGAAAAUCAUCCACAAAUCAGCCACACAAGAUUCCCUUCAACUAAGGGAUUCUGAUUUCAAACGAGUAAAAAAUAUUUAAGGAAAGAGUUUGAUCAAAAUCUUUUCCCCAAAGUAGCAUAAGAAGGGUAAAUACAUAGAAGUCUAUUAAAGGAAGAAGUCUAGUGACACACGAUUUGUAAGAAUAAGGAAAUGGAAUCAAUCAAAAAUCGAAAUUACAGGCUUUGUUCGAAUGAACCAAGUCAGGAAAAGUGAGGAGAGGGUUUUAUUAGAGAAAAAUUAAUGACAAUCAAUCAAAACCUAAAGAGAUUUUGAAUCAAAUCAUGAGUUGGAAAAACUUUUUUUGAAAGAGAAAUUCCUCAUAUAUAAUGUCAAACAAGAAUGAAUUUUCGCACCAAUUAGAAAAGCCUAACAUAGAAAGUUAAGAGUCAAAGAAAAGUACAAAGACUCAUACAAUUCUGAGAUACCUAGAGUUCCAAAAUAUACCCUAGUUUCGAGCACAAGAUCCGAACUUGUCAAAAACUCCCAAAUACUAGGGUUUUUGACUUGAGUAUGAUGCAGAGAAGAAAAGCAAAUAAUGUAAACAUGCUCAGAGACUCAUGAGAAAAUGAAUAAAUAGAAGGUUCAUGGAAAAUAGAACUAACUUGAAACAUAGUAUGAGUAGCAAGAACUUGUUUUAAGAAACUUGGAACUUAAACAAGUUUAGAAGAUGGCAGAUAAAGAACUGACACUUAGUAAAAAAAAAUACAAUAAAAGAACACAUGGGUAAAUGAACAUAUAAGAUAAACAUGUGAAAGCAUGCUAUAGAAACUAG
rnacentral:lncRNA from 1 species